GUGAGGAGGGGGCCUGGACGGGGCAGGAGCGACGGGGGGAGUGAGGAGGGGGCCUGGACGGGGCUGGAGCGAUGGGGAAGAGAGUGCGGUGGGGUCCCUUGGUUCCCGUCCCCAGGAAGCCGGCGAGAUGGAACUGGCAUCUAUCGGGCCCUGACCGUGCUGGGGGCUGCACCGGCUCGGAAAGAAACCGAUCAGUGCAGGCACCAGUGCUUGACGGUCAGCUUGGGCCUGGGAUCCUGACCCUGCACCCGGGCUCUGAGAGGGAGAACUGUGGCGUUUGCUCAGCCAAGCCCGGACAGCUUAGCCGCCAGCCCCCUCCACCUUCCCGCAGCCCUUCUCUUCCCCAGAGGUCAGAAGCCAGGCAGGAAGACCUAAGAGGGGCUAUCUGUUGAGGCCCCAGGGAGGGAGGAAGCCUGUCCCUGCCCUGAGGGCCUGACCCCAGGCUAGGUCUCAAGAGAGGCUGGAAGCCAGAGGCCUGAGGCCAGUCCCGUUGCUGACGCGGAUGUGGUCCAGCUGGGGCCCUGACAGGUGUGGCCACUGGACCCCGGGCCACGGGCCUUCCUGCUCCCGCCACUCCUCCCACCGCCUGAACUUGUGCUGAGAUCCUGCACCCAACCAGCUGAUGCCUGAGCGGGAAAGGAUUCUAGGGCCAGAUCCGUGCUGGCCUGCCCAAGGAAUGGGAUGAUGUCAGGGGUUCCAGGUGGAGACGAGGACUCCCAGGCCCAGACUCAUGCCUUGCCCAGCCCCAGGAGACGGAGUUUCAGAAGCAUACCUGGGACAAGUCUAAAAAUCAGAUGGGGACUUUAUUGUGAUGGUGGCAGGUCCACCAGCAGAUGCAAAUGUGGGGUGCUGAGAGUGGCAACACAGGCCACCCCAAACCAA
rnacentral:lncRNA from 10 species